rnacentral:rRNA from 1 species
AUUACUCCUACGGGAGGCAGCAGUGAGGAAUAUUGGACAAUGGGCGCAAGCCUGAUCCAGCCAUGCCGCGUGCAGGAUGACGGUCCUAUGGAUUGUAAACUGCUUUUGCACAGGAAGAAACAACGCUACGUGUAGCGUCUUGACGGUACUGUGAGAAUAAGGAUCGGCUAACUCCGUGCCAGCAGCCGCGGUAA